AAAUAUACUGUAUAAAUAAAUUAUACGUAUAAAAUAAGUCGAGUCGAGAUGAAUCUCUUCCCGCAAGAAGAUUAUCGCCCCGGUAGUGCUCUUCGGUUUGGCGUAUCUUCCCCAAAGGUAAAACGACUUCGUCUCGUCGGAUGUAGCACCACAAUCCGGCGAGCUCCGGCGAACUGAAUAAGGAUCGAAAACUGAGCUAGAGGUGGAAUGCAGAAUGCAGACUAUUUUGUGAGUUGUGAGUUGUGAGUUUUCAGAGUGAAUUCUAAAGCUCACCACACACCCAUAUUUAUAGGUGUUAAACCGAGUGUGAACGGAUCGGCAGUCAACUCCGGCGGCUGCGGUAGGUGGCCGCAAUCGUUGAACGCAGAAGUUGAAACAGUCAAUUCCGGCGGCUGCGGUAGGUGGCCGCAAUCGUUGAACGCAGAAGUUGAAACUGAUUUUCCCUCUUCAACAUCCAAACUUUGACAUACAAUAUCUCACUCACCGGAAAUCGGUUUUGAGACUUCAAGUAUAUCACGUUGAUCUACUCGAGAUGUAGAUUAACAUCCAAUAAUUAUUUUAAUUAAAUAAUAAAUAUUUAAUUAAAUAAUAAUUUUCAGAUAUGGCAUAAAACCAUAUUUCCAACAAUCCCCCACAUGAGUGAGAAAUCAGUAUGCGAAUGUAUGCAGACAUUUAGCUCAGUCCUCUUAAGAAACAACAUUGCAUUUGGAAAGGUAGCUUGUGGCUUUGAACCUGCCAUAGUCAAUAUUAUCGAGUAUACCGGCGGCCUAGUGGAUUGUGUUCCUUGAACUAGUCCUCCUCGGUGUAUACUAAGUCAACAAUAUUGACACAAUAUUGCUUCAAUCCUUAUUCGUUCUCACGUUUGUGUCCAUUACAGGCCUUGGAACACCUCUUUGGAUUCAUAAGUGUUUCAAUCGAAGCGGCCCCACUUCACACUUACAUAGGUGACUCUUAACUCAAGUAUCCUGCUAUACUUGUCCUCUUCGAGGAGUUCUAGAGUCAUUAAAAGUCAAAGACUUAACCUCACCACGUGCAGGUUUCCGAACACUCACUGUUCUACAAGGAAUAGGCAAUUCGAGUGUUCAACACACGGAUUUUCAUAGCUUAGUUGUCCCAUUGAACCAAGUUCUUGGGAUCCUCCAGUCAUCAUGGUUGGGUUGCCACUAUGAUUAUCCUUAAUUUGUGGACUUCAAACCCAUUCCCCCUAACAGUUUAUACAUCUGAUCUCGAUGGAUACUUUUUGUCAAAGGAUCCGCUAUGUUAUCAAUUGAUCUUAUAUAAUCAAUUGUGAUAACUCCACUAGUGAUCAGAUGUCUCACGGUAUUAUGACGUCGACGAAUAUGUCUCGACUUACCGUUAUACAAAUGGUUUUGUGCUCGUCCGAUAGCAGCUUGACUAUCACAAUGAAUUAUCACGGACGACACAGGUUUCGACCAACAUGGAAUAUCCUCGAGGAAAUUUCUAAGCCACUCGGCUUCUUCACCAGCUUUAUCCAAAGCUAUGAAUUCUGAUUCCAUGGUCGAUCUAGCAAUACAUGUUUGCUUCUUGGAUUUCCAAGACACAGCACCACCCCCCACAGUGAAUACAUAACCGCUCGUUGAAAACGAGUCUUUGGCAUCAGAUAUCCAAUUUGCAUCACAGUACCCUUCAAGUACAGAGGGUUCCCUAGUAUAAUGAAUCGCAUAGUUUUGAGUAUAUUUCAAAUAUCUCAAAACCCUUUCAAGAGCUUUCCAAUGUUCAUUACUAGGGUUAGCUGUAAAGCUGCUCAACUUGUUGACCGAGCAUGCUAUAUCGGGACGAGUGCAAUUUGUUAGAUACAACAAGCUCCCAAUAAUCUUCGCAUAUUCUAUCGCGUCAACAGGUUCUCCCUUGUGUACACUCAAAUGCACACUAGGUUCCCAUGGUGUCUUAGCUAUUGGCUUGUCAAAAGCGUUGAAUUUCUUUAACACUUUCUCAACGUAGUGAGAUUGUGUUAUAGUAAUACCAUCAGGUCUUCUUAGAAUUUUAAUUCCAAGGAUAACAUCAGCUAAGCCCAUAUCUUUCAUGCUAAAAUUUUUACUUAGCAUGCCUUUGGUUUCUUGAAUCACUCGGGAAUUACUUCCCAUGAUGAGCAUGUCAUCUACAUAAAGACAAACAAUAACAUAUCCGUUAUUAGAAUUCUUAAUGUAGACACAUUUAUCGCACUCAUUGAUUCUGAAUCCAUUUGACAACAUUACACUGUCAAAUUUUAAAUGCCAUUGAAGCGGUGCUUGCUUCAACCCAUAUAAAGACCUUUGAAGUUUGCAUACUUUGUGCUCUUGCCCAGGUACUACAAACCCUUCAGGUUGCUUCAUAUAUAUUUCAUCUUCCAACUCGCCAUACAAGAACGCAGUUUUCACAUCCAUUUGGUGAAUCUCGAGAUUGUGCAAGGCAGCAAUAGCGAGAAGCAUCCGAAUAGAUGUUAGUCUGGUCACAGGUGAAUAGGUAUCGAAGAAAUCGUACCCUUCUUUCUGCCUGAAACCUUGAACGACAAGUCGGGCUUUGUACUUAUCUAUAGUACCAUCAGAUUUGUACUUCUUCUUUAGGAUCCAUUUGCAUCCUAAAGCUUUACUUCCAGGUGGUAGAUCCACUAACACCCAAGUAUGAUUCUGCAUAAUGGAAUCAAUCUCAAUAUCGAUGGCUUCUUUCCAGAGAGCUGCAUCUGAGCCAGACAUAGCUUCUUUAAUCGUCACCGGUUCGCCAUCUAGCAUCAAGACAACAUAAUCCGGUCCAUAGACAUUAGCUUUUCUAACUCGUUCCCCACGUCUCGGUUCUACAUCCAUAGGUUUAGACCUUGGUCUUUUCCUAUUAGGUGGUACAUGAUUAGAACCCGUGGCAUCAUCUACUUGAGUAGAAUUACUAGCUACUUCCAUAGGUUUAGAACCUGUAGCAUCACCAUCAACUCCAUCAUUAGAGUUCGAUGUACCUUUAUCCUUGUUAGGAUAGAUAUUUUCAAAGAAUAUAGCAUUCCUUGAUUCUAUCGUUGUCCCAACAUGUAUAUCAGGUAUCUCCGAUCUGUGCACUAUAAAAACGAUAGGCACUGCUAUUAAGUGCAUGACCAAUGAAGAUACAAUCCACGUUUUAGGUCCUAUUGUAACUUGCUUUGGUAAAGGCACUUCUACCUUGGCUAAACACCCCCACACUUUGAGGUAUUUAUACGAAGGUUUCCUUCCUUUCCAUAGCUCAUAGGGAGUUACAUCUUUCCCUUUGAGUGGAAUCUUGUUCAAGAUAUAGUUGGCCGUUAAGACAGCUUCCCCCCACAUGUUCUGGGGUAAUCCUGAACUAAUCAACAAGGCAUUCAUCAUCUCCUUAAGAGUUCGAUUCUUGCGUUCAGCAACGCCGUUAGAUUGUGGUGAAUAAGGAGCCGUCGUUUGAUGGAUUAUACCACUUUCGUUGCAUAAUUCAGCAAACGGAGCUACAUAUUCUCCACCUCUAUCACUUCGAACCAUCUUAAUUCGACAUCCAAGUUGAUUCUCGGCUUCAUUUUUGAAGUUUCUAAAAGCUUCAAUAGCCUCAUCUUUACUUUUCAAUAAGUAAAGGUAACAAUACUUUGUGCAAUCGUCUAUAAAGGUGAUAAAGUACUUCUUGCCACCUCUAGUUUGCACGAACUUUAAAUCACAAACAUCGGUGUGAAUAAGUUCCAAGGUUGAGUGUCCUUUCUACCGAUUUAAACGGUAACUUAGCCAUUUUGGCUUCAACACAAACUUCACAUUUCUUGUGAGUUGUAUUCAUCAACUUUUAGUAAAUUCAUUUUUACUAAUCUCUUUAUAGCAUUUAGAUUAACAUGUCCAAGUCUACAAUGCCAUAAAUCAGAACACUCAAUCAAGUAAGCAGAAGAGGUUGAUGCAUCUUUAUUGAUUUUAGCCUUGGCAGGCUUACAAGCUCUUACACCAAGUUUGAAAAGUCCUUCGGAGGCAUAGCCUUUCCCUAGGAACUUUCCCCACUUGCGUAUUACAACAUAUCAGAUUUGAAAAAAAUUCAAAAUCCUUAUAUUCGUAAGCCUAAAGCCCGAAAUUAAAUUCUUUCGGACAAUUGGAACGUGUAAUACGUCUUUUAAUGUGAUCUCCACGCCCGACGUGAGUUGAAGAAUCACAUCUCCCAUGCCAAGGACUUGGGAUGUCCGUUCGCUAGCCUCCAUUAUCGUUUUGUUUUCCACUUCUUUGUAGUUGUGGAACAACUCCCGAUUUAUGCAUAUAUGGACGGUAGCGCCGGUGUCCACGAACCAAGCGUUCGGGUUGUCCACAUGAUUCACCUCGGAGAUCAUGGCAGCAAAGUCAUCGUGGUUCCAAUCGUCGAAGUCCUUCUCGACGUUGUUCACGUUGCCAUUUGCUUUCUUCCGCUUUGGCUUGCGGCAAUCCUUAGCCAUGUGACCUUUUUUGUCACAAUUAUAACAUACACCAUCAAACUUUGAUGGUUGACUACCGCUUUGUUUCCAUUUACCCUUAUUAUUAGGGUUAGGGCGACCACGUUUGUUGGAGGGUCCGCCUUUCUCGGUGAGAUUGGCCUUUGCCUCCAUCGGAGCUUUUCCCUUUUGAUCACGACUUCUCACGUGAUCCUCCAUUUGAAGCUUGGAUAUUAAUAUCGGCACGGACAUCUCCGAGCGCUCAUGCUUCAAAAGGUUUUGAAAUUUCCUCCAACUAGGAGGUAAUUUCUCUAUGAUGAUUGCAACGAGCAAUGCAUCCGCCAAGGGCAUCCCUUCGGCUUGAACCUCAUGUGAAAGAUUUUGGAAUUCUUCCACUUGGUCCAUCAAUGGUCGGGAGUCAACCAUUUUAUAUUCCAACCAUUUGGCGACAAUAUACUUGGUAGUAUUUGCCUUGUCCACUUGAUAUUUCAGAUCAAGGGCCUCCCACAAUUGUUUCGCGGUUUCAUGAACCUUGAAAACACGGUAGAGCCGUUCGUCCAGAGACAUGAGAACGGUGUUACGGCACAAGUAGUCGCCGCGACACCAGUUCAAAUAUCCGGCACGAAUUUCUUGGCUUGUCUCCCCUUCCCCUUCACUCGGGGUUGGAGGUUUAUCCUCCAUUAAGAAUCCGGCAAACCCCACGGUUGUGAGGUAGAAUAGCAUCUUCUCUUGCCAAUAUUUGAAGUUCUUGCCUGAGAACGUUGAUGGUUUCUCGGCAAGACCAAUAGUUCUAGAUGUUGACGAUGAAGCCCCCGUUGAUGCAAACGAGGAAAAUAUUGACGACGUGGUUGAACCGAUGGUUGCAGAGGUGGUGGAGCCAUCCAUAUUGACGUCGGUGUGAGCCAUUUCUCGAACGUGUAUCAACGGCAGAGAAAUAAUCUUCUUGCGAUUGUUAGAACCGGGUACACGAUCGAGAUAUUACAAAAUAAAUAUUUUGAGAUAAUACAACUCAAAAUAAUUGAAAAUAUUACAAAAGAAAUAAUUUGAGAAAUUACAACUCAAAUAAAUAUAUACAACUGAAAUACACUGUAUAAAUAAAUUAUACGUUUAAACAAAUCAAGUCGAGUCGAGAUGAAUCUCUUCCCGCAAGAAGAUUAUCGCCCCGGUAGUGCUCUUCGGUUUGGCGUAUCUUCCCCAAAGGUAAAACGACUUCGUCUCGUCGGAUGUAGCACCACAAUCCGGCGAGCUCCGGCGAACUGAAUAGGAUCAAGAACUGAGCUAGAGGUUGAGGUGGAAUGCAGAAUUUGAUGUGAGUUGUGAGUUCUCAGAGUCGUUAGUUCUGAGUUGUGAGUUCUA
rnacentral:lncRNA from 1 species